rnacentral:lncRNA from 1 species
AUCGUAGAACCAUCGGCCACUUUUUCUAGCCUUCGGGGACAACUUCGGGAAGGGUUCUAAAUUUUUUAACAUGUUAAAAAAUCCCCGAAGGUACGUCCGAUGUUGAUGGUUCGUAUUGAGUUCGUAUCACCAUCCUCACCAUCGUAAUGUCACCGGGAAUGCAUCUUUGAACAUCGUAUUGCAUUCGUGUUUCCAUCGUUUCCAUCGGGCAGUUUUGACAUUACGAUGUCUACACGAAUGAAUCACGAAGCUACCCGAAGGUCUUACGAUGACAACACGACUUCAUGAAGACCUCGUAAUCCCGUCGUGUUGCCAUCGAAUAAAAGUACGAAGGCGACAAGAUGGACCUACGACGGCAAUAAAUCCAGCUAAAUGUAAGUUAAUUUUCGCUCUAAAAUACAUUUAAAGUGCCAUGCGCGAUAUGCACUGGUCAGUCUAAUACGACAGUUAAGAAAGACAUUCACAAAACAUGGAGCUCAUAUCAUAUUCUAUGAGAACAAGAAAGGCGACAGCGUUGUUUCUAUUAAUUCAAAUGGAACAAGAAGAGCAGCUAUUACAGGCACCACAUUUUUAAUGUUAUUUCGAAUAGACAGAAAAAAUAUUUCAAUCAUUUCUUAUAAUUUAAUUCUAAAUUCCAUUUUAAACCGUAGAAAACCAUAAAAAAAACGUUGAUAACGUCACGGUCACAUGACUAAAUUAUGUCUAUGGGCUGAUAACAAAAUAACGUCAGCCAAUCAGAAGACGCGUUACAUCCAAAAUUAAAUUAUUGCCAUAUAACUUUAACCAUAAAGUUUGUGACAUACAAAAUAAGCAAAGAAAUUAAUGUAUGAAGCAAAAUUUUAAGAAUAUAAAGUUAUAUAUAUCUUUUUCCAUUGACAUACGGACUUACAUUUUAGCAAUUAAUCGACGGUCUGUGAUUAUUAUUUUUUACAUGAUAAAUUUGUAAUAAUUUUUCUGAUAUUGUCAUAUUCCAUCUCACGAAAAAAAUCUACAGAAAAUGUUUGAUUAUUUAAACCCCUGCAAUGGGCUGAUAAAUGGAUUCAAUUUUCGCUAGGCAGCGGUAAUCCAGGCGCGAACACCACAGUCCCACGGAACCCUUUAUGAAUUUUCAUAAUGCACCUGAACAUCUAUAAAAAUUAAUCAUUUCACAUUCAUUAACGUCAUUUGCACAAAAGGGGUUUUGUUUGAGUUACUGCUUUGCGCUACGGUUCCUUAUAAACGUUAUUUUAAAGUAACUGGUUUGGAUAUUUUCUCUAACACCAAUGACCAUUGGAUUCUAAAUCAACACAAUGGUCAAUGCAUUAAUUUAAACAUAAAAGAUUAAAAAGAUUGUCUCUAAAGUAUGUUCAACUUGCUAUUGAUUGGGUUUUUUUUAUGUCAGAAAAGUGCUUCCCCUCGAACCCACUACUAGUAGAUGUUAGAACUUGGAUUCGAUUGGGGCCUUCAAACUUCUCGCCGAGGUUAGGGCGUACACUCAAAAGUAGCCUGGCUACGCCACUGAUCGUAAGCUGUACACGACGUCUUUUAGACAUCGUAUGGCCAUCGUGCCAUCAUUGUAAUCCAUCGUGUAGCCUUCGUAAUCCAUUGUGUAGCCUUCGUGAUCCAUCGUGUAGGCUUCGGCUGAGAUAUGAAUUUUAAAUACCCGUCUUCGGUUAACCUUCGUAUAUCCAUCUUUUGCUAUCGUAUAUAAUUUCGGCACCAUCGUAUAGACUCCGUUAUUCAUCGUACUUGCUUCGGUCACUUUUUGGUAUUUUAACGAGAUCGGGACCAACUUCGUACGAACUUACAAUUUUCGCAUUCGGGUGUCCAUCGUAUAUAAAAAUCGGGACAGUGUGACGCGGGCAUAAGAGAAGUCGAGUCCGAUGUCAGAAUAUGAAACAAAAGAAAAUAAACAAAAUGACAAUAAUACAUAAAUAACAACAGACUACUAGCAGUUACUGACAUGCCAGCUCCAG